rnacentral:rRNA from 1 species
UGGCGAACGGGUGAGUAACACGUGGGUGAUCUGCCCUGCACUUCGGGAUAAGCCUGGGAAACUGGGUCUAAUACCGGAUAGGACCACAUUUUGGAUGGUGUGGUGGAAAGUUUUUCGGUGUGGGAUGAGCUCGCGGCCUAUCAGCUUGUUGGUGGGGUAAUGGCCUACCAAGGCGUCGACGGGUAGCCGGCCUGAGAGGGUGUACGGCCACAUUGGGACUGAGAUACGGCCCAG